GAUUUUUUUGGUCGCGCGGAGAGAGAAUAGUGCAGCGGAGGAAGGGAGAGAAAAGGAGAGUUUGUUUCCGCCGUGCCCAGAAUAGCCCAAUAGAAUUCGGAGAAGCUGAUCCAGGAAUUGUAUUUGCCUAAUCUACAUCAGUGUAACUUUGGGUUAGGGCAACAGAGCGAAGAGGAAUACCAGGAGGUUUAGUUCGUAGAAGAUGUGCAGUCCUAUCUCACCCAGUCUGGCUCCGACUCUAAAUCUGUCUUCGCUUUUCUCCAAGAAAGGGGCUAGAUUGACAGAAGCUAUACAGAAGUUGGGAAGAUAAUCCGGAUGUCGGUUUUAUUGCAUUGAAGGGCAGUGGCAAGGCAUUUUGUGCGGGUGGAGAUAUGGUGUCUCUCUAUCAUUUCAGCAAGAAAAACGAAAAGAAGGAAAUAAAUUCAUACAAUUAUGAGGGAAUGGAGGAAAUGAGGACCAAAAAUUAAGGAGCCCAAACCAAUAGGUCUUGAUAUUGAGGCUAUCAGGACAACACGACCACCUGCACGUACUUGCAGUUUUCACAAGCCUCAAAUUGAAACAAUAUCAAAGAAAGAAGAUAUACUGGUGACAUUGUGGGGGGAUAUUUCAUGCAGUCUUGAUAUUGAGGCUAUCAGGACAACACGGCCACCUGCACUUGCAGUUUUCACAAGACUCAAAUUGAAACAAUAUCAAAGUAAGCCAUACUAACUUCCAUUAUGUCAUUCAGAUAUAGUAUCACAAAGUAAGCCAUACUAACUUCCAUUAUGUCAUUCAGAUAUAGUAUCACAGAAAAAUCAUACUUUUAUUUGAUCUCUUUUAUAUUAACUUCCAUAUAUUCGGUAUUCUAGACAAAGUUUCACUAUCAAGCACAUGAAGCACUUUCUAUAUCCUCAAUCCUGACAAAGUUUCACUAUAAGAAAGAUUUAUGCUCGGAUAGGUGAAUAUGUAAAAUAAUUAUGAAACUUAGGACAUCAUUAUAUUUCUGUUUGUUGUUAAUUCAGUUAGAAAGAAAGCCAUGGAUAAUUGAAAAUAAGCUGUUCUGUCACAAAAAGAAUUCCUUUUUCUUUUUCUUUCUUCAGCACCAGCCUCUAUGCACAGCUAUAUAUUGAAGGCUUCUGUCAUGGAAGCAAUUAGGCUUUCAAAUAUAUUUCUGCUAACCUCAUUAGUCAUUAGAGAUGCCAGUUUCAAGAAUAAGUCUGAAGCAAAUUCGGUGAUUGAGCUCUAUUUUCAAGUUUAGUGGGAAUUGGUGAUUGAGUCCACCAGAUUCAUUGAUAAGAGAUUUUAGAUGAAAUUGUAGAGGAACCACUUCAAUUAGCAAAGAUGAUUUAUUGAGGCUGAAAGUAUUACUUAUAUAUAUUGACUAGCUAAAAAAUUUGGAUUUGGUAAUAUAUAUUCUGAUGUAUAUGUCUUACCAAUUUGUAAAUAUUCUUCCUUCAAAAAAGAAUAAUUGUAUGCAUAUACCUUUAGCUCUGUGCCAUACAUUAGUUUUCUACAUGCAUUUUGGUAU